rfam:Parcubacteria group bacterium CG1_02_37_13 cg1_0.2_scaffold_230_c, whole genome shotgun sequence.
UUUUAUGAGAGUUUGAUCCUGGCUCAGGAUGAACAUUGGCGAUGUGGAUAAGGCAUGCAAGUCGAACGAAGCAGCAAUGCUUAGUGGCAGACGAGUUAGUAACACAUAGGUACUUGCCUCAAAGACGGGUAUAGCCCGGAGAAAUCCGGGGUAAUCCCCGAUAGUCCCGUAAGGGUAAAGGAGUAAUCCGCUUUGAGAGAGGCCUGCGGCCUAUCAGCUUGUUGGUGAGGUAAUAGCUCACCAAGGCUAUGACGGGUAGGGGAAGUGAGAGCUUGUUCCCCAACGAUGGGACUGAGACACGGCCCAUACUCCUACGGGAGGCUGCAGUCGAGAAUCUUCCGCAAUGGGCGAAAGCCUGACGGAGCGACAUCGCGUGUAGGAAGAAGAUCUUAGGAUUGUAAACUACUUUUCUUGGGGAAGAAGUUAUUGACGGUACCCAAGGAAUAAGGGGGGACUAAUCACGUGCCAGCAGUAGCGGUAAUACGUGACCCUCAAACGUUAUCCGGAUUUACUGGGCGUAAAGAGUCUUAAGGCGGUUUUUCAAGUUCUCGGUCAAAUUUUUGAAGCUCAACUUCAAGGCAGCCGGGGAUACUGUUAAACUAGAGAGUGCCAGAGGUUAGCGGAACGCACGGUGUAGGGGUGAAAUCCGUUGAUAUCGUGCGGAACACCAAAAGCGAAGGCAGCUAACUGGGGCGACUCUGACGCUGAUUGACGAAGGCUAGGGGAGUGAAGAGGAUUAGAUACCCUCGUAAUCCUAGCUGUAAACGAUGGACACUAGCUGGUGGAAGUAUCGACCCUUUCACUGGCGAAGCUAACGCGUUAAGUGUCCCGCCUGGGAAGUACGAUGGCAACAUUAAAACUCAAAGGAAUAGACGGGGGUUUACACAAGCGGUGGAUCACGUGGCUUAAUUCGACGAUAAGCGGAGAACCUAACCAGGGCUUGACAUACUAGUGAAACUCUAAGGAAACUUAGAGCCCCGCAAGGCACUAGUACAGGUGCUGCAUGGUUGUCGUCAGCAGGUGCCGUGACGAAACACUUCGCGGCCUUGACGAGCAAUCGUCAAAGAAAAAAUCGGCUCAUAACGGUGGAGGUUUAUUAUUUUCUGUGUUAAAAUUAAAUAAUAAAUAAUACCGUGGGAAGUCAAGAAAUUAUACCAAAGUCAUUAAGAGCGAGAAAAAACUUAAAAUUAAAACUCACUCAAAGUGAGUACGAUGUUUUAGUUGGCUCAAUUCUUGGUGAUGGGUAUAUUACUAAAAAGGGAAAGAUCCAAAUCGAACAAGGAGAAAAACAAAAACAAUAUGUUGAAUGGAAAUACGAAAAAUUAAUAAAUGCUAAAAGUGGCAAUAUUAUUAAAACAACAAGAAAAUACAAAGGAAAAGAAUUUUCUUCUUAUAGAUUUUGGACGAGACAAUUUUUUUCUUCUUGGAGAAAUAUUUUUUAUCCUUACGGUGAAAAAACUAUUCCAAGAGCAAAAAUUAAUUUCUCUCCUUUAUUAUUGGCUGUUUGGUAUAUGGACGAUGGUUACCUAAGAAAAAAGAAUACUAUUGCUUUGUCUACGGACAAAUUUAGCAAGUCAGAGCUAGCUUAUUUAGCUACAGAGUUAAAUAGACAGCACGAACUAAGUGUUAAUAUUGUAAAAAGUAAAAAACUAUACUUUGACACUAAUUCUAGUAUUAAGUUUCUAAAUAUAGUAAAACCAUAUAUUAUUCCUUCAAUGAUGUACAAAAUUUCUUUGACCCCGUAACGACUGCUUUCAUUCAGAAAGCGAUGGAGGAAUUAAAACCUUCAUAAUACGCCGAUCUCCUUUAUUUUUUAAAGGAGGUGGUAUAGUCUACAAAACCUUACAAAGAGGAGGUGCUCCCUUAAAUGGGGAAACCUGCGCAACCCUUGCCCUAUGUUUCAAUGUGUCAUAGGGGACUGCCGCGGAUAACGCGGAGGAAGACGAGGACAACGCCAAAUCAGCAUGGCCCUUACGUCCUGGGCAGCACACGUGAUACAAUGGCUGGUACAAUGGGUCGCCAACCGGUAACGGGGAGCUAAUCCCACCAAACCCAGCCCUAGUUCGGAUUGAGGUCUGCAACUCGACCUCAUGAAGCUGGAAUCGCUAGUAAUCGCGGAUCAGAUACGCCGCGGUGAAUAUGUCACUGAACCUUGUACUCGGGUGACCGGCAGCUAAUUUAAUUA